rnacentral:rRNA from 2 species
CAUCCUCCAAGGCUAAAUACUCCUGACUGACCGAUAGUGAACCAGUACCGUGAGGGAAAGGCGAAAAGAACCCCGGCGAGGGGAGUGAAAAAGAACCUGAAACCGUGUACGUACAAGCAGUGGGAGCCCCACCACUAAGCCAGUGGUGAACUCCACAUACGCAUCCUUUGCUGAGGAUACGGUUAACGGAGCGAAAGCGACGUUCAACCUCAAAAGAAGCAGAGGGGGCUUAGUGGUGGGGUGACUGCGUACCUUUUGUAUAAUGGGUCAGCGACUUAUAUUCUGUAGCAAGGUUAACCGCAUAGGGGAGCCGUAGGGAAACCGAGUCUUAACCGGGCGUUAAGUUGCAGGGUAUAGACCCGAAACCCGGUGAUCUAGCCAUGGGCAGGUUGAAGGUUGGGUAACACUAACUGGAGGACCGAACCGACUAAUGUUGAAAAAUUAGCGGAUGACCUGUGGCUGGGGGUGAAAGGCCAAUCAAACCGGGAGAUAGCUGGUUCUCCCCGAAAGCUAUUUAGGUAGCGCCUCGUGAAUUCAUCUCCGGGGGUAGAGCACUGUUUCGGCUAGGGGGCCAUCCCGGCUUACCAACCCGAUGCAAACUGCGAAUACCGGAGAAUGUUAUCACGGGAGACACACGGCGGGUGCUAACGUCCGUCGUGAAGAGGGAAACAACCCAGACCGCCAGCUAAGGUCCCAAAGUCAUGGUUAAGUGGGAAACGAUGUGGGAAGGCCCAGACAGCCAGGAUGUUGGCUUAGAAGCAGCCAUCAUUUAAAGAAAGCGUAAUAGCUCACUGGUCGAGUCGGCCUGCGCGGAAGAUGUAACGGGGCUAAACCAUGCACCGAAGCUGCGGCAGCGA